ensembl:lncRNA
AAUCAGCCUUGGAAAAUGGGAAGCAACGGUCCUGUAAAUUCAGCAGGGAGACCUUCCUUCCACUGCCGCAUUCCAGUAGUCUGAACCUGCCUGCCCCCAACCUUCUCAAGUGUGCUCUGCUGGCCACGGGUCUUCUCAACCCCAGCACCGGGGCUAUACACAGCAUACAGACAGAUAUCCUGGGUCUUGGAGUCAGCUGUCCAGAGGAGUCACAUUCAGCUUCAAGUUGCCCCACUGCGCCCCUCCCCUAUAUGCGAAUGAUACGGUGAUCUGCAGAACUGGCCGGCUUCAUCAUGACGUUGCACACAAGCCUGGCCCAGAGCUCGGGGAAGCUGAAGGAGGAAAUCUAGUGGAGUCUGAGUUGCACAGGUCUGGCUGGGUGGCCCAAGGAAGCAAGGUGACCAUCACGUGGAUGUCGUCAGAGGCUGGGGUAAAACUCAGAGGGUUCGAGAGGCUUCAUAGUUGGUGACUCCAGAUUAGUGCUGGCUCUGUGGGAACUGUUGUGCCAUGCUGAGGACAGAGGUGUGAUUUCAUCUUGUCUCCUCCAGGAAGCCCUCCAGCCUGUGGUCUACAUUGCAGUUGGCUUCUGAACCUCGACCUGGGCCUUGCAGGAGCCAUCCUCACUUGCUGACUGCUUCACUCCAAGGUGGAACCUGUCUGAUGCCUCUGCUCCUGGAGAGUCCCAUUGGCCCAGGGCUGAUGGGUGGAGCAGACAUCUAGCCAUGGUUUACAGGACAGUCUGGGGCAAUUAUUGUUGCCCUGGAGUCGGCCUGCACCUUGGAAGGAGUACCUACAAUGUGGAAAUCAGCAAGCGAAUCAGUUCGUGUUGACCCUCUGCCAGUGCACCACCGAUGACAGCUCAGUGCGGACCGCACUAUGUUCUGAAGGAACCGAGCCUGAUUUGGACUUUGGAAUUCUGGAACGGCAAGAGGAAGAGGUGGACUCGGCCUUGCGUGUUUCAGCGUCUCUUCUGGUUUUCUUCCCAUCAGUUCAGUUCAAUUCAUUCAUUCAGUCAUGGCUGACUCUCUGAGAUCCCAUGGACUGCAGCACGUCAGGCUUCCCUGUCCAUCACAAAUUCUCAUGUCCAUCAGGGAAUCGUCCCGACCCAGGGAUCGAACCCAGAUCUCCUGCAUUGCAGGCAGAUUCUUUACUGACUGCACUACGAGAGAAGUCUUUUUCCCCAUAAAGGCUACUGUAAGU